CGGAGGGUGCAAGCGUUGUUCGGAUUUAUUGGGCGUAAAGCGCGUGUAGGCGGUUUCUUAAGUCUGAUGUGAAAGCCCUGGGCUCAACCCAGGAAGUGCAUUGGAUACUGGGAGACUUGAAUACGGGAGAGGGUAGUGGGAUUCCUAGUGUAGGAGUGAAAUCCGUAGAUAUUAGGAGGAACACCGGUGGCGAAGGCGGCUACCUGGACCGAUAUUGACGCUGAGACGCGAAAGCGUGGGGAGCAAACAGGAUUAGAUACCCUGGUAGUCCACGCCGUAAACGAUGAGAACUAGGUGUUGCGGGUAUUGACCCCUGCAGUGCCGCAGCUAACGCAUUAAGUUCUCCGCCUGGAAAGUACGGUCGCAAGACUA
rnacentral:rRNA from 1 species